rnacentral:rRNA from 1 species
GGAAUCGAUGUGGAUCCCGCGACGAGCACAUGCAUCAUGAACGAGGACGUGGAGCAAUACAUGAGUAAAGUGGCGACCGGNGUGAGUAACACGUGACUAACCUACCUCCGAAUGGGGAAUAACUCCGGGAAACCGGGGCUAAUACCGCAUAACACCGCAAGGUCAAAGCAGCAAUGCGUUUGGAGAGGGGGUCGCGGCUGAUUAGCUAGUUGGCGGGGUAACGGCCCACCAAGGCGAAGAUCGGUAUCCGGCCUGAGAGGGCGCACGGACACACUGGAACUGAAACACGGUCCAGACUCCUACGGGAGGCAGCAGUGGGGAAUUUUGCGCAAUGGGGGAAACCCUGACGCAGCAACGCCGCGUGGAGGAUGAAGCCCCUUGGGGCGUANACUCCUUUCGACCAAGACGAUAAUGACGGUACUGGUGGAAGAAGCACCGGCUAACUCUGUG